UACGUAGGGGGCAAGCGUUGUCCGGAAUCAUUGGGCGUAAAGAGCGUGUAGGCGGCUCGGUAAGUCCGCUCUGAAAGCCCGGGGCUCAACCCCGGGAGGCGGGCGGAUACUGUCGGGCUAGAGUCCGGAAGAGGCGAGUGGAAUUCCUGGUGUAGCGGUGAAAUGCGCAGAUAUCAGGAGGAACACCGGUGGCGAAGGCGGAUCUCUGGGCCAUUACUGACGCUGAGGAGCGAAAGCGUGGGGAGCGAACAGG
rnacentral:rRNA from 1 species